rnacentral:rRNA from 1 species
UACCUGCAGCUCUAGUGGUGUCCGCUAUUAUUGGGCCUAAAACGUCCGUAGCCGGCUUAUUAAAUGCCUGGGUUAAUCGUACGGCUUAACCGUACGAAUUCCGGGUAGACUGAUAAGCUUGGGACCGGGAGAAGCUAGAGGUACUCCUGGGGUAGAGGUGAAAUUUUGUAAUCCUAGGGGGACCACCAGUGGCGAAGGCGUCUAGCUAGAACGGGUUUGACGGUGAGGGACGAAGCCCUGGGGAGCAAACGGGAUUAGAUACCCCGGUAGUCCAGGGUGUAAACGCUGCUUGCUUGAUGUUAGUCGGGCUCCGAGCCCGAUUAGUGUCGGAGAGAAGUUGUUAAGCAAGCUGCCUGGGAAGUACGGCCGCAAGACUGAAACUUAAAGGAAUUGGCGGGGGAGCACAGCAACGGGAGGAGCGUGCGGUUU